rnacentral:rRNA from 1 species
GACGAACGCUGGCGGCGUGCUUAACACAUGCAAGUCGAGCGGUAAGGCCCUUUGGGGUACACGAGCGGCGAACGGGUGAGUAACACGUGAGUAAUCUGCCUUUGGCUUGGGAAUAACUUCGGGAAAUCGGGGCUAAUGCCUGAUGUUUACUGUCUGCUGCAUGGGUGGGUGGUGGAAAGUAUUUUUUGGCCAGGGAUGAGCUCGCGGUCUAUCAG